GGUGGUGAGGGCGGCAGGUGCGGGGGCGCAGCAGCCCUGGCCAAGCCCAGAGACCGGAGGACACCUCCCUCCCAGCGCUCUAACACGGGCAACUUCCCACUCCCGGGGACGGAGUUUCUCCGUUGCCCACGGACAUCCAGGAGGCGGUGUGGAGGGCAAGCAGGGUAACCCCCACAUCUAUCCAAGGGGAGCCAGAGGAGCCAGCAGGUCCGGACUCGCUAAGGGGGCUCCUCGCGAGGCCUCCCACGCACAGGUAGACAGCUCUUGCUUGACCCCCUUCAGGAAGACUUGGGCCAACCUGUGCUGGGGCAGGCUGAGAAGCAGACAUCCAAUCAGCAACCCCUCAGUGUUCUCCCAGCUGGGACCUCUCUGCUCCCUGUGGCUGGAGCCUCGGGGACUUCCAGGUAGGGUGGGAAAGACCAGGCUGUUGGAGAGUGGGCUCCUAGGAAGGUUUUCUACCUUCAUUCUGGGGAACUUAGGAAGGGUCACUGUAGCUGUUUAAGACCACGGAGGCUGCAGGGGGCUUGGUCUGGACCCCUCUACCUUUCUUCAUCGUACCAUGGUUGUCUGUUGAAGCUGACCAGAUUCCAGGCCUUAAGCCUUAUCAGAGGUGCCCACUAACAGCAUCUUCCAGAGGGCUCCUGGUGAGUUGAUGGGGGUUUGGGUGUGCGGGUGCCGGGGAAUCCAGGACCUAGGAGAUCCCUGGGAUGACUGAAUCCCAGUCAUAGCAGGGGACCGUGAAAUCCUCACAGAGUACAAGAGGAGCCGGAUUCCAGCUGCCCCACACACCAGGCAGAGCACGCAACCGCUCGGCUCUCUGCCAGCCUCCGCGUAAGAAUGGGUGCCCCUGGGAUUCCUGUCACCUGCCUGCCUGCAUCCCUGGGCUCUGCCUCUUUCCCCUUCCCUCCUCCACCCUCUUUCUCUCCAGGUCCUGGCUCUGCUUCCUUGAACCCAUCUGCAGAUGCAAGCCCCAGCCCAGCCCCCAGGGAGAGGCUGCACCUUCAUGAACCUUUCCACAGCUGUCUCCUUUGGAUCUUUUUGCGGUCUGGGCUUGCUGUUCUCUCGACAGUAGUCAGGAAGCCCUUACCCCAAAAAGUAUCUACGGGAGGCUCGGUCGACAGGGGGCCCCCAAGGGCUCCAGGUGAGUCAUAUCAUACUCAAGAAGACCAGGUGACCCCUGGGUGACCACAGGUCACAGAGGUUCUCAGCCUUCCUAAUGCUGUGACUCUUUGGUGCAGUUCCUCAUGGUGUGGUGACCCCAACUGUAGAAUUGUUUUCGUUGCUACUUUAUGACUGUAAUUUUGCUACUGCUACGAAUUGUAAUGCAUAUAACUGAUAUGCAUGAUAUCUGACAUGUGACCCCAAAGAUUGAGAAACGCUGCCCUAAUGCUUUCUGUGCCAUAGUCACUCCUUGCCUGGUAGGCAUGUUUAGUGGGAGUGACUCCAGCCUAGGCCAGACAAUGCUGCUCCAGUGGAAGCUGUUGGCCACUAUGGGCACUCCUGGUAGAACCGUCACUCGGUAUGCUCAGCCCUCCCUGUGUGUGUGUGUGGAGUAGACAGGGCCUGGCUGAUGACUCCUGCGCAGAGAGACCUGUGACUGGGAACACCACAGUUGAUCCGGUGGAUCCCAGCAGCUGUGUGCCGUGAAGAUGGUGAGCUUCUUGCCAGGAUGAGGUGUCUGCCGUCUACCCUCCAUCCUUCAAAUGAAAUCCUUGACUGCUCAGGUAGACAGAGUGGAUACCAUUGCUUACUGCUGGUUCAGAGCCCUCUAGAGGGAGGAGGGGGGAUUGCGCACACUGGAGAAAAGGGGCCGACUGGGGGAAAUCUAAGUCAUUGUCCUUAGAGGGGGCCACUUGGGUGCACUGAGGAGGGUUCACAGGCAAGGGGUGAAUUAAAAUCCAGGGGAUCUUUCUAAAGGUGAUGCCCUGUUGGGAUAAAGAGCAGAGGACCCACAUAACGUAAAUUUAAAAUCGCCAAAGGUAAUAAGGAUUACUCCCACCCAGCCCCAGACUCUGCACCCCUUGGGAUGGAACUGGACUGCAGGUGGCUUCUGCUAGUUUGACAGAGUUGGGGAUGCCUCUGCAGCUGUGGUGAGGUCACAGCAGGUCAGGGAUGGCCACAUGGGUACCCAUCUCAUUCCCCUCCUCCCCCAUCCCAGGGGUUGGGGGCAGCCCAAGGUGAGGAGUACGAUGUCAAUCUCAUUGUCAACAAAGCCACCAAUCUUGGGAAACAAACCCCCUAGAAGAUCCCAUCCCUGUGCAGAAGCCACUGGAGGCAAAUCUAGGGAGACAUGUGAGCUGUGGCCGGGCGUGUGAACCUCUCUGAUUUCAAAGGUGCCAAGGGAUCCUGAGUGGAUCUGGGAGUGUGUGUGGGUGCGUUGUGGCUGUUUAGGAAGGAGAGCCGAGUUCACAGGUCAGAAGCGGGGACUGUAGGUGUGUGGAACAAAUGCCCGCCUUGGAGACAAGCAGAUGUCAGCGAAGAGAGAAAGAAAGAACUCCGACAGGCAGACGUCAGCGAAGAGAGAAAGAACUCUGACAGGCCGUCUUACAGGGCUGACUCAUCCUGGGACCACGGGUCCUGAUGAAGCCUGCCUUCCCAGUUCUGACCCCAAACAAAGUAGGUUUGCUGGGCCACCAGCCCCAGCGUGCGGGUGGGAACGGAGUUCGUGGCUCAAGGGCGGCAUCGUGUGGUCAUCGUGGGGUAGUUCACCUUACAGACUCCAUUAUGAGUGACCCUGGAGGACAGCAGUCUUUCCCAGAUUAGAGCAAAGCAGUUCCAUCCCAAGGGAUCCCAAGGGGUGCAGAGUCUGGGACUGGGUGGGGGUAAGCCGGAAAGUCUGCUAAUGUGAGGCGACGUCCAGUGAGGUUGUUUACAGCUUGCUCAUCACCUAGGAUAAAUCACCUCUCAAAACGGGUUUCUGGGUCUACAGCCUGGGCAUUUGACUGCCCCCAAUCCCCCCCCCCCCGCGCGCUCUUCAAUCGUCUCAUCUCAAGUCACAGUUAUGCUCCUUCAGGGAGCUGUUCUCAUCAGAAGGCAUCUUUCAGAAAAGAUUUCAGCUCCAAUGCAUGGCCUUCUGAGACUCUGAGAUCUGGCGUCAGAGCCCAGCCUUCCAGGACUAGCUGUGUGCUCCUGAGAAAGCCCCUAACCCUUCCAGCGCUUCCGCUUCCUCCUCCCCAAAACAGGGUGAGAACGCUCGCCUUACAGGACCGUGGGUCCCGAGGCUGGGCCUAAAGCAUGUCAGCUCCGAGGGGUGUCUGCUUGACCACCUGUGUCUGGAGGCUUGCUGCUCGGGACACAGUGGGGGAAGGUGGCCACCUCUGCGGGGAGCCUGGGGCGUGGGGUACGGGACGGGAGGCGGGUGAUGAGACCUGAAGAAGGCAGAGGGCGGUGUUCUGCUGCAGCUCCCGAAAGUUCCGGAACAGGGACUGGGAGGGAUCGCUGUCUAGCUGGAGAAGUGUGGGGGGGGGUUGUCAUCAAGCCUGGGGAGGGAAAGAAAACGAGCAGAGAAGCUCAGGAGGGGCCAAGAGAAAUCAGGACGGAAAGGGAAAAUGGAGAGGCGACAUGAGAGAUCUCUCUGAUGGCUAAUAUCCCCUCUCAAGAGGUUCAGGGUGCUACUGGGGCACCUGGGUAGGGUGCGCCCUCUCCCAGGAAGCUGAAGGCUGGGGUCUGUUCCGUGUGGGCAUAUGCUGAUAAAGAGGCCUUGGGUCAAUCACCUUCCUCCUCUAGACAUCCCCAUCGGUAUAAUCUGAGUGUGUAGAGCAUCUCAGAUUCCACCGGCUCCCUCCCAGACUCACCCCUCCUAACAGGCAAGCAGAUCUAGGGCCCCAUGCUAACACAAGAAUGGGAGCUGUUCCAGCAUGGGAUGGGUUUGUGGGUAUGAAGGAGGGCGCCUGAGAUCUGGGAGGAAGAGGCUGGAGAAAUUAGCAGUAGUGAAGAAACCUAAGGACUUCCCUGAAGUUCAGCUGGAACACAUCAAAGGUGGCUGGAGCUAUCUCUGCCCCUUAGCUUAGCAACACGUGACCCCGCAUGCCAACAUGACAUCAGCAGCUCCGUUCAUCUGCCCCACCUGUGAGCCUGCCCUCCCCUCCUCCAGCCGCAAAGCCUCUCUGUUGCUCCCAAAGGUGGCCUGGUCCAGCAGGAUCUGGGGGAGUGACAGUGGGAACUUCAAAGGACUCAGGACUCCCCGGAUGAAGCUGGCAUGGAGGGGACAGGCGUCAUCGGAGCUUUCGCUUUUGCAUCUGUGCCCUGAGUCCUGGGGCAGCUGCUGACCCCAGUCAGACAGCAUCUCUGCUCUGGAAUCCUGCCUCCCUCCCUGUCCUUUCCUCCCCUCCUCUUCUUUUCUUCCCCUUUCUUUUCCAGAGUCUGCACCCUGUCCAGCCAGGAAUCAUCUCAGAUCUGAUUCUGCGCUUCAAGAGUUCCUGGGAGCUGCAGGUGGAAUCCAGAAACAUCAUAAGAAGCCUCUGCUCACACGGUUCCCUCUUCAGCUUUGGUGGAAUCAUGAGAAAGGAGCCCAGAUGCUGACACUUGGAAAUGGGAGUUGCUGGAUGCCUAAGGAUGCGAUUCUACAGAGAAAGAAGAAAGGCACACUCCUUUUAACGUCUGAAUAACUGGACAUCACAAGAGAACCACGGUUCACGCCCUCGCCUCCCAGUGGACAGUCGGCUUGCCACCGUCCGGAUACAGCUUGUUCCUUCUGAAACUCAUGUUGAAAUCUAUUGCCCUUGUGUCAGUGUUUGGCGGGGGCCUCCAUCCUCAUGAAUGGCUUAAUCCAUUCAUGGGUUGAUAGAUUAGCCCCAAAAUGACUUCCUUAUAAAAGCGAGUUCUCACUUGGAGGAGUAAUGCAUGCUAUAAGCUCAGGACCCUAAGUUUGAAGCCAGGGUUAGCGACUAACUGUCUUAGUCACUGUUCUCUUGCUGCGAUGACUCCAUGGCCAAAGCAACUCUUACAAGAGAAAACAUUUAACGGAGGUCUUGCUUACAGUUUCCGAGGUUGAGUUCAUUAUCAUCAUGGCUGGGAGCCUGAUAGCUUGCGUGAAGGCUUGGGGCUGGAGAAGCUGAGAGCUCCACCUCGAUCCACAGGCAGAAGAACAGAGAAUGGGCUUGGAAGAGACUUCGAAACCCCAAGCUCGUGCUCCCCCCCUCCCCGCCAGUGACACACUUCCUCCAAGGCCACACCUCCUAAUCCUUCUAAUCCUAUCAAAGAGUUCCACUCCCUAGUGACUAAGGAUUCAAAUAUAUGAAUUUGUUGGAGGGCAUUCUUAUUCAAAUCGCCAGAGCCAUUUAGCAAGAUCUACCUCAAGAGCGGAUGGGAGAACCAGGGGGCCAGGCUGACCCAGGAUAAGGAGUUUUGAAGGAGACAAGGCAAAACCUCUUUGCUUCCAGAGUCUACUUUCAGGAAACGUAACAGAAUGUGACAGUUUACCAAUAUAAUGUGUAUUUUCAGACCCUUACCAGGGGACAAGCAGGUGUCAGAAACAUACUUUUGUACACCCCAGCCUCCAGAACUGAAAGCUAAAUAAACCUGUAUUCUUUA